rnacentral:rRNA from 1 species
GGGUUGUGAGGUUAAGCGACUAAGCGUACACGGUGGAUGCCUUGGCAGUCAGAGGCGAUGAAGGGCGUGCUAAUCUGCGAUAAGCGCCGGUAAGGUGAUAUGAACCGUUAUAACCGGCGAUACCCGAAUGGGGAAACCCAGUGUGACUCGUCACACUAUCAUUAACUGAAUCCAUAGGUUAAUGAGGCGAACCGGGGGAACUGAAACAUCUAAGUACCCCGAGGAAAAGAAAUCAACCGAGAUUCCCCCAGUAGCGGCGAGCGAACGGGGAGGAGCCCAGAGCCUGAAUCAGCAUGUGUGUUAGUGGAAGCGUCUGGAAAGGCGCGCGAUACAGGGUGACAGCCCCGUACACAAAAGCGUAUGUGCUGUGAGCUCGAUGAGUAGGGCGGGACACGUGGUAUCCUGUCUGAAUAUGGGGGGACCAUCCUCCAAGGCUAAAUACUCCUGACUGACCGAUAGUGAACCAGUACCGUGAGGGAAAGGCGAAAAGAACCCCGGCGAGGGGAGUGAAAAAGAACCUGAAACCGUGUACGUACAAGCAGUGGGAGCCCCACCACUAAGCCAGUGGUGAACUCCACAUACGCAUCCUUUGCUGAGGAUACGGUUAACGGAGCGAAAGCGACGUUCAACCGCAAAAGAAGCAGAGGGGGCUUAGUGGUGGGGUGACUGCGUACCUUUUGUAUAAUGGGUCAGCGACUUAUAUUCUGUAGCAAGGUUAACCGAAUAGGGGAGCCGGAGGGAAACCGAGUCUUAAC